GGCCUGAUGGUCUAGUAGUAUGAUUCCUUGUUAGGGUCAAGCCGUUUCGAGGAGGUCCUGGGUUCAAUUCCCAGUUAGGCCC
rnacentral:tRNA from 1 species